CCUUCUCAGAUCCCACGUUCCGCUCAAAAUUCGCAGCCACUUGGGCUUUCUUGUAAAUGAAUCAAAGGAGCACACCUGUAUCAUAUGUUACUUCCAAAACCCAAUGAGGCUUGUCAAGUGUUACAACUUUUUCUUUACCGCCGUCCGAUGCAAGGUGUAUUAAGUUGUAUUUCGUAUUGACAAGGAUAUCCCUAUGUACCUCAGACAGGUCACUUCGGGCUCCAUGAUUCUAUGAAUGUAGAAAACUCCAGCACGGAAAAAUAUCUGAAUAAUUACUUAUCCCUCAGUGUCACGUCAGAGUUACUGUAAUUAAUUAAAAGGUUUGGGCUCAUUGUUCUAUCUUUGCCAUUUACGGCUUUCCGAAUUUUUACAAUGAAAAUGUUGCGAUUGAAUCAAAGGCGUGGACAAAAAUGAUCGUGUCUAUACAAGUUUGUAAAUUCUUAAAUGGUAUGCAUUUUGAAAAAAAGCUUUCAUAAUGGAUAUCAAAAGGAUUAUUUUCCUCUGUAGCUUUUUCAUAAGAAAAAUGUCAUUUUCCUGAUCACAUUGAUGGUAAAACGGUCAUGUUUAGCCUGAUCAAAUUUAAGCU